rnacentral:rRNA from 1 species
GACAGAGGGUGCAAGCGUUGUUCGGAAUCAUUGGGCGUAAAGGGCGCGUAGGCGGUCAGGUAAGUCAACUGUGAAAGCCCAGGGCUCAACCUUGGAAGUGCAGCUGAAACUACCUGACUAGAGUCUCGGAGAGGGUGGUGGAAUUCCCAGUGUAGAGGUGAAAUUCGUAGAUAUUGGGGGGAACACCAGUGGCGAAGGCGACCGCCUGGACGAAGACUGACGCUGAGGCGCGAGAGCGUGGGGAGCAAACAGG